rnacentral:rRNA from 1 species
CAAGUAGGCGGCUUGGUAAGUAGGGGGUGAAAUACUCCGGCUCAAUCGGAGAACAGCCUUCUAAACUGCCAGGCUUGAGUAUGACAGAGGAAAAUGGAAUUCUAGGUGUAAGGGUGAAAUCUGUAGAUAUCUAGAAGAACACCAGCGGCGAAGGCGAUUUUCUGGGUCAUUACUGACGCUAAAUUGCGAAAGCUAGGGGAGCAAACAGAAUUAGAUACUCUGGUAGUCCUAGCCGUAAACGAUGAGCACUAGAUGUCGGCUCCUUUAGGAGUCGGUGUCGCAGCUAACGCAUUAAGUGCUCCACCUGGGGACUACGGUCGCAAGGCUAAA